rnacentral:rRNA from 1 species
CCUACGGGAGGCAGCAGUGGGGAAUAUUGCGCAAUGGGGGAAACCCUGACGCAGCAACGCCGCGUGAGUGAGGAAGGACUUCGGUCUGUAAAGCUCUGUUAAUGAGGAAAAAUGGUAGUUGGUCUAAUAGGCCGAUUAUUUGAUGGUACUCAUAGAGGAAGCACCGGCUAACUUCGUGCCAGCAGCCGCGGUAAUACGAAGGGUGCAAGCGUUGUUCGGAUUUAUUGGGCGUAAAGCGCGCGUAGGCGGACCUGCAAGUAAGAUGUGAAAUCUCGAGGCUCAACCUCGAAACUGCGUCUUAAACUACAGGUCUAGAAUCUCGGAGGGGGAAGGGAAUUUCGCAUGUAGGGGUAAAAUCCGUAGAUAUGCGAAGGAACACCAGAGGCGAAGGCGCCUUCCUGGACGAGUAUUGACGCUGAGGCGCGAAAGCGUGGGGAUCAAACAGGAUUAGAUACCCUGGUAGUCCACGCUGUAAACGAUGAACACUAGGUAUUGGAGGAUUUGACCCCUUCUAGUGCGUGCUACGCGUAGUGUUCGCCGUGGAGUACGGUCGCAGACAAACUACAAGAAGUAGACGCGNGAGAGNGCGAGACGACACGAGGAGAGG